rnacentral:rRNA from 1 species
GUCCACGCCGUAAACGAUGGAUACUAGCUGUUGGGAUUUAUCUCAGUGGCUAAGCGAAAGUGAUAAGUAUCCCACCUGGGGAGUACGUUCGCAAGAAUGAAACUCAAAGGAAUUGACGGGGGCCCGCACAAGCGGUGGAGCAUGUGGUUUAAUUCGAUGAUACGCGAGGAACCUUACCAAGGCUUAAAAUGUAGUUUUACAGAUUUGGAAACAGAUCUUUCUUCGGACAAAUUACAAGGUGGUGCAAUGGUUGUCGU